CAAACUUUGCCUGAUAAGAAGUAUGAAAUGAAAAUUUCUCUCUCAGUUUAUAAACAGCUCCACCUUAUACUCAGUGAACCCAGAGUAACUGAUCAAGUGUUCUUAGAAAUGUCUGGGCUGGGGCCCAGAUAUCCUAGGCCUCCUGACACAUCUAUCUGUCUUCUCUCACACUUCAACUCUAAAUUAGGUGCAUAGAGUCUCAAUAUGAUACAGAAGACUUAGGGAUCUUUGGGAAAGGUCCUCUGGAAGUUAAGCAGCAGCUACCUCUGCUAGCCUGGAGUGCAGCCCUGGGCUUUUUUUCUCCUUUCUGUUGAAGACUGUAUGCACUUAGAUGACUACAGGCAGCAUGCUCUUCUUUCUACUGUCUUUUCAUGAAGGAAGAAAAGGUGGAGAGGAACCAUACAUGUCUGUUGUCUUGUCCCACUCGGUGUGUUCUGAGAGAGGAUUAUCUUCUUCCUGAGGAAGCCAACAGAAGAAAACAUGACGUGAUUCGUUUCAACUCACAGCCAUUUCUGAAAGUCGUGGAGAUGGCAAAGGGCAGUCAUGUCUUUAAAGUCACAGAAGUGGGAGCUGGACUUCAGACUUUAGGAGGUAUUACUGUUCACUUGCAUUAUUCUUGACAUUUUAACAUGAACAUCUUGAUAACUAAUGUAUAUUAGAAUCUCUCUGCAUGUUUUGGGGAAUUAGUUAUGUGUAAAGCAAAUCGGGAUCUUGUUAGGGAAAUUGUUAUGUACAGCAAAACUCAAGGUUCUAAUUCAGUCACAGAUUUGUGUGUUUUCAGUGAAAGAAAAUGUAAAAUUACAAAAUCUAUAUUGUGGUUUUGAAAAAUAAUUGUAUUAGAUUUAGGGUUGAAAAAUAUUUAUUGUCAUCCAACUUUGCUUUUGGAAAUUACAGAAACCAUAAAUUUUCUUAUGUUUUUAUUUGUUCAUUUGUUUUUAUCUGAAAGCUUCAGAGGGCCUCAUCAAUGAGACAUAGCAGAUAACUUGCUUUUUCUCAGAGGUGGGGAGUCAAUACUUCUGAAAGACAAAACGUUUUCAAGACUGGCAGCUUUUGUUUUGUAAAUUUUAUAUUCAAUCAUUCAGGUAAGUUAAGGAGGAAAAAAAAAAGUUUGGUAAUGUGUCCUAUGGUCAGGAAUUUGGUCAAGGAAACAGGAGUUCAAGGCAGAGCAUUUUCAGUAGGGGGAGAGGACAGACAGCAAACAAAAGCAAAGUAGAUAAAAGACAAAACACCUUGUGCAGGAAUGAUGAAGGUUUCAAAUUUUUCUCCAAUUUUCAGGAAAGUACUGACAGUAGUUGAGGAGCAGAGGCUGGAAAUAGCAGGUGCAAAACUGAAAUCUAACUAGUGUGAGUACUCUUAGCAAAGGAUUUAGUCCCAGUUUGCUUUCACAACCUUCCUGGCAUGAUGAGACAGUCAGACUUUGCCUCACUAACGCAGAAUCUGUGCCUGGAGGGAUUAGAACCAUGUGUCCAUUUUGUAUUGCUGUUCAUUUCAUGUGUUGACAGGCUGCCAUAUGCCCUGAGGAUUUUUCUUCCAUCUCUUUUCUUCCCUAGUUGAAGAAUUUUCCUUCCCCACCUCUGUAUGAGAAAUCGCUUUUACUCACCAAAAUAAAUAACAUCUCAGUGAAUUAAGGAAAACGGAUAGCAAGUUUCUAAAGAGAAAGAUCAUUCAGCUCCAGGGUUGCAUUAAAUAUUACAUUUUUUUCUGAUUGUAAUGAAGCUACUCUUUGUGUCUUUGUUGGUGGAUCCCAUCUGAUCAGUUAUUCAUGUGAUUAAAAAGUUUGUAGUAUGUCUGUUUGCUUUGUAGCAAUAGCUUACACAUGACAAACCUUUUUGAGUGUCUAGUGCACUAGCACGCUGAUGCCUUUUAUUCUUGCCUCUUUGUAGAGCGUGGUCUAGUUAACUCCAAAGGGGUGAAAGAAAGUGGAAGAACAGGACAGAGAUGAAGAAGCAAUAGGAUGGUAAUGGAAAAAACUAGAGAAUAAGCUGUGAGUCUUAAUCUACAACGGGAACAGAUUUUGUUCCAGCUGUUAAGGAGACACAGAAAUCAGUGCAGCUGCUGAGCCAGUAAAGCAAAGGAUUUCUGAGGAAGAAAUUGAUUAUUCCUCUCAGCAGGACUAUUUGGAUGUUAAUUUGUCCUGUGAUGAAGUUAAUAAUACAGCUGAUGCCCAUGGAGGUAUAUGCUCUUCUAUUUCCUCACAACAGUUAGCUCAUUCCUAGGAAUUCAUAUCUGCAUUGGCCAAAAAGCAAAGUGUCUAAAACUCUAGGAGUUUACAGUGAUAAGGUCUUGAAUUACCAUCUUGAAGGAAUUUGGAUGGCUUGACAAAUGUGUUGUCUUUAGAUAGUUGUAGUAGUUUUGGUAGUUAAAUAGUAGUUAAAUACUACAAAUCCCUAAAUUAUAGAUGAAAAAUUAUUUCUUUGGCAAGGAAAGAACAUUUUCAUUGCUGACACCAUUUCAUUUUUCAGAAUUAACACUUUAGAAAGAGGUCAAGAAAUUUUAUUCCCACUAAGAGAGAUAAAGAAUUGCUUAGUUUAUUACUCUGACCUCUGUAUAAGUGAUAUCUUACGCUAAAGUUCAUCCUAAGUCAUAGAAACUAUAUGUAUUGUUAUGAGAAAGAAAAUGACAUAGAAAGCUUCAUUAGUUAUUAAGUAAAAUGAUCUUCAACACAGUAAACUGAAGAGAAAAUCUGAAUAUGUUGUCUGGAAUUUAUGCAUGCAGAAGAAAUUAUUUAUCACCCUUCGUCAAAACUAAGUCAGCAACUGCACUGGAAGGUGAAAUACAUUUAUUGCUGACAUGCAUUUCAGAUUGUAAUGCUUAACAAUACAUUUUCAGUGAAUCUUCUGAUGUCUGGGUUAUGGGAUUUCCUGCAGUCAAAGCAUGGUGUGGAGGUAGCUCAAAGAUGGCUGUAGGUUUGCCUGGAGCUGGACUGUCUUCACGCUCAGGGUUCCUGAGCUGACUGCCUUUAGCAAGUGAAAAUGUUCAUGUAGCUACAUAUAGCUUUGACUCUGAAACCAAACAACUGCCUACAGAUUCCUAAGUGACUUUAGCAAAUGUGAUUGGUAAAUUGGAACCAAACUGCAUUGCAUGCAAUUUAGUUGACAUUUUGUGGGUUUUUCUUUCUUUCUUUUAUUUAUUUAUUUAUUUUUGGACCGCUACUGGACACCUGGCUUUCUUUUCUUUGGGUAUGUUUUUCUUCUCUAAAGCCUUUUUAAUAUUUUAGGUUAGACCAGGAUGAAUGAUGUUUGUUUACCAUAUAAAGUCACAUCCUUUUCUUGCAAAAUAAGUCAUUUUCAAAUCCAAGAGUGAUUUACACAAAAUUUUAGCUUUAUUGGUCUCAAAUGGCAAGAUAUAAUUUCAGAAACAGGGAAGCCUUCAAGAAAGCAAGAAUUCUCUUAUGUAUCUAUCCCUAGUACUAAGUAGUCAGCUGGGGAAGAAAAGGAGGAAAUAAGCAGCUGAUAUUAAUCUAAGUAGAUGAUUUUGCCAAAACAACCCAUGAGACAUCAGCUACUCUUUCUUGAGAAAUGAAGCAAUCUUCCUCUGUGAUAUUUCAACAACUUUUUUGCAAAUGAAAUGCUUUUCAGAUUCCAGAGUAGUUCCUUGAAAAAAACACUGCCUAGCUCUCAGGCAAUAGAAAAUAGAGAGAUUGGGAAAGAUCGGUGCUUAUGUCGCUUCUUUUUAUGGAAAAACUCAGGGUCAUUCAUUCUAAACAUUUUUUCCAAGACAAACUCCAAAUGCAAAGAAACAGAGUCACAUGCACCAUCCUCCAACGUUCGGGAAUCUUGUUGGAGAAACAUGCUGGAGGGAAAGUGUUAAAAAUACAUAACUCAUGCAAAUAUAGUAAGUGAUCUAUCUUCUUUGUGCUUUAAGAUAAUAAAAAGCUUUUUAAUUAAAAAUAUGCAGUCAGCGUAUCAGUAUGAACUGGAGUAGCAUGGACAAUGAUAUAAGAAAGUUCAUUUGUUAAAGUGAGAAUAUGAAAACAGGAAUCAAAGAUCUCACUGCACAGAAAGGUUUUAUUUAGCUUUGCUGAGAGGCAUGAGGUGGUAAUAAAUGAGAGUUGGAUGAAUCUAAGAGGAAAGAGAAGAAAUUAUACUAUGGGAUGUGUUUGGUGGAAGUGAGUGGAUAAAGGCCUCCAGCAACAGCGGGGCCAGAGAAGACACUUUUUUGGAGGCCCUUUAGGGGAAAGAGAGGAGAUAUGUUAAAAGCAUUAAAAAACAAAAAGAACAAAACAAGAAAAAAAAUAGUGGAAAAGCUGUGCUAAGAGUCAUUGGCUAGAGACAACAAAAAGACCCUGAGCAGUAAUGUUCAAUCACCUAAGGAGGUGUAAACAGCAGGGGGAUUAACAAAAAAUAUGGGAAUCUUCACUGCUAGAGGAUGAAGAAAUGAGUAUACACCAAAACACGUGGUGCAAGGGCAUAUCAAGGGGAAAAUAAACGUGAUUCAGGCAUAAGUUCAGCUGAGAGUUUUUUGACAACAUCCUUUUAAAUCUCAUGCUUUUAAUGGAACCUGUCAGUAAGGACAAAUUGCUAUCAGAAAAGUAUUCUUUGGGUCAAAAUUAGAGAAACUUUAGAGAUUAGUCCCAAAGUAUCUUGCAUUAUUCUAGAGAAAAUGCUGACUUAAAAUGUAAGAGGAUAAGAGAAUAGGAAAUCAAUAUGAUAUUAGCUAUUCCAGUGUGUGAACCUCAUGUUUACUGUGAAAACUUGACGAAGUCUGCACAAUGUGUAAUUCUGAAAACACAGUAAUGUUAUGUGUGGGAACACUGUCUUGUUGCAUCCUCACAUGGAGUGCAGGAGUACUUCUCAUUUGUUGUGAGAGGAGCACAGACAACUUUCAGUGUCAAGUGUUCUUUAUUUCAUUUCUGUACAUUAAUUCACAUAGAACUGCAUACUGUUUACUAGAGGUUUCUGUCUUUAUUGUUUAUCCUACUAAACAAAUAAAUUUUAAAGUGUAUUAAUGUUAAUCUUAAUAUAAGUAAAUGUGUAACAGAAUAUAAGUUAGAGCUGCUUUUCAUAGCAUGGAUUUAUUUAUUUAUUUGUUUGAUACUCUGGGAAAAAUGAAAACAAAAACAUCUGCCCCAAAAAUGGAAUGCAAAACUUUAAUCACUCUUUAGUCUUUGAAAUGAGCAUUUAGUAUUUUUUAGUUUGUGUAAUAUCUACCAAGCAAUCCAUCUGACCCAGUGUAUCAUUCUUCAUAUAUCCAUGCUUCCUAUGUGUAGAUGCUGGGACUGAUGGAAGAAUUUAUUGUUAUUAUAAAGGAGAUAAAUUUUUGACAUCAAUAAAUCUCACUCCGAAUCCUAAAAUUUGAGCUCAACUUCACUAAUCAAAUUUAAUGGAAGUAAUUAAAAGGGGAGAGAAUUUAAUUAGGUUCUCUAACAAAGGAGCUGGAGUGCCUAGUCCCAGUAAGGUGCUUGCUGAGGCCUUAGUAGGUAUAAAAAACAUUUGUGUAUUUUGGUUUGAAAUCUUGGAAAAAUUGAGGAGACUACAUCUUAAGAAUAUAAAUUUGAUCAAAUCCUUGAUCGUCUUCCUUCUUUGCUCUUUAUCCUUUUCUCUUUUAUCUCCUAGUGCUUGAUGUAACUUCAAAAUCUUACUCAGAUAGGUGUAACGAAGGUAAAAACCUUAAUGCAGCUGUUAUUGACUUUUGAAUCUUCCCUUCCUUCCAUCCCCACUGCUGUUAGGCAUGUGCUCCACAACUCAAUCGUGGAAGGAAAAAAAAAUUACGGUAAACUCAAUGAUUUGAAAUAAACUAAAUUUGAAAUUGAAUUGGAUGUAUAGGACAGUCACAUACCUUUAAGUUGAAAUCUUAUAUUUCACAACAGAGGUACUCAUGCUAAGGGAAUAAAAAUAGAAAAUAUGCUGUCUAGAAUAACUUUUCUGCUGUGGAGAUGUGUACACACGCAAUGAUUAAACAACUCUUAUUUCUACAUAUCUUCAGAGUCAACAGCGGACUGUUGCUACCUCCUUGAAUUGAAAGAAGUCUGUAUCAGAAAUAUCAUGAUAGUAUCACAUACCAAGUAUGUAUUAUUUUGUUUUGUUUGCUUGGUUCAGUGUAGGAGUAUCCAAUACUUGGGGAAAAGAAAUAGCGUACAGUUGAAAUAAUUCUGCAAGUCAUUUUAACAUUCAUAUUGUCACAUGCUUAGAAACUUCAGCCUUAGAGAAGGCUGUUGUAUCCCAAGCACAAUAGUUUAUUAUUCUCAGUAUGUUCUGUAAAUAGCUUAAAAUAUAAAAUUCUUGUAAACUGAAAUAAUGGACUUACCCUUGGAAACGCAAUCUCACAAUGUUUUCAUCCUUCCUACUUUCCCCCUCUACCAGGUCUUUAAAAAAAACUAUUGUAGGUUUUGCUGAAUCAGUUUAUUUCAAUGUAAUAUGCAUCUGAAGCAAAAGAGAAAUAUUAGUUCAUUUUUGUGUUUUGUUUGUAGUCUAAAUUGUGAUUAUUCUGCUGAAAUUAGCAAUUGUUUACAAAUUUAUAGCAGGGCAUAUAAAAAGCUAGGUUUGGUUCCUUCAGUCAUGCAUUUAAUUUUUUUCAUUUCCCUUUCUUUAAUUGAUACUGCUGAUGGUCUUUUCUGUGGGUCAUUGUAGAAGAUAUGAUGCACAGGGUGUUUUUUCCCCCUUUUGAUAUUGAUUGCCAGUCACAAUUACUUCAUGGUCUUAUCAUCCCUUUAGGUGAUCUGCUGUGUUUUUGUUGUUUGGUUUUGUUUUUUUUUUCCCAUUAAAUUUUCAGUAUCUGAAAUGGUUGGAAACAAUGAUCUGGAGCAUUAAGUUAGCAUUUGAUUUUUCUGUUGCUCAUGUAGUGCACUGUAUCCUACUCUAGUAAUCAACUGUGCAAUUGUGUUUAGUGUGAGCCUAAAUUUCAAUUUAAAAAUUCUUCAAGAACUUUUAUUUCUGUUCAUUAUUUUAACAAGACCACUAUCUGUGGUCUUUCUGUAUUACUUUAUCUACCCUACUGCUUCCCAUCACUUCAUUUAACCAUUGGAUUUCCCAAGUUGUUGC
rnacentral:lncRNA from 1 species